UACGUAGGGGGCAAGCGUUGUCCGGAUUUAUUGGGCGUAAAGAGCUCGUAGGCGGCUUGUUGCGUCGACCGUGAAAACCCGUGGCUUAACUGCGGGCUUGCGGUCGAUACGGGCGGGCUGGAGUUCGGUAGGGGAGACUGGAAUUCCUGGUGUAGCGGUGAAAUGCGCAGAUAUCAGGAGGAACACCGGUGGCGAAGGCGGGUCUCUGGGCCGAUACUGACACUGAGGAGCGAAAGCGUGGGGAGCGAACAGG
rnacentral:rRNA from 1 species